UACUUAACACGGGACACAAUUGAGUAACAGGGCAGGUAUUAAGAAAACAAGAAUAAGGCGAUUCAAACAUUACGGCCUUGUUUGGUACUAGUGUAUUUUAGAGAAUUUGUAGGGAUUAUCCCGAUCAAACCCCUCAAUCCCCACACAUCCCAGAACAUCAUUUGGUUCUAGUGUAUUUGACAUGUUUCAUCCCCACAUUUCCCCUCAAAUCCCCAAAUUAUAGUGCAUUUUUUUCAAGACCCAAUACACUAGCCCUACCUAGUGUAUUGGGGAUAAAUGGGGAUUUGAAGGGAUUGGGUGAAGGUUGGGGUUUCACCCAAUCCCUUAGGGGAUUAUCCCCAUCAAUCUCCUUAAAAACACUAGUACCAAACAAGGCCUACACGAGACGCAAUUCAGUUGACAGAGCAGGUAUUAGGACAACGAAGGGCGGGUACAGGAAAACAAAAUACCAGGAAACGAGAGGAGAUGGCUCGACAAAAAGGCUCGCUUCCCUCCGAUGCGCCUUAGGCACCGAUGCCGAUGGGGAGUAGAGUAGGUCGUUCCCUUGCUCCCCUUGUCCGCCGCUCCGGACCAGGACCGGGUGGGGUCCUCGACGCCGGACUCGCCUCUGGGGUUUGGCGGAGGCGUGCGGAAUCCGGAGGAGACGAUUGGAUGUGCGGCGUCCAAGGGAUCUGGUGAGACGCGAGGCUGCGGUGGUUGGCGAGAACCAGGACCGAGCGGCGAUGAGGCAAAGUGGAUCGCAGGAGAAGACUUGAGGGGGGUUUUCGGACGAUGCUACACAGUGCCCGCGCGCUCUGCGGCUGCAUCUCGCGGCCGCUAGGAAAGGAAGUCCCCCCC
rnacentral:lncRNA from 1 species